GACGAACGCUGGCGGCGUGCUUAACACAUGCAAGUCGAACGGAAAGGCCUCUUUCGGGGGGUACUCGAGUGGCGAACGGGUGAGUAACACGUGAGUAACCUGCCCUUGACUUUGGGAUAACUUCAGGAAACUGGGGCUAAUACCGGAUAGGAGCUCCUGCUGCAUGGUGGGGGUUGGAAAGUUUCGGCGGUUGGGGAUGGACUCGCGGCUUAUCAGCUUGUUGGUGGGGUAGCGGCUUACCAAGGCUUUGACGGGUAGCCGGCCUGAGAGGGUGACCGGCCACAUUGGGACUGAGAUACGGCCCAGACUCCUACGGGAGGCAGCAGUGGGGAAUAUUGCACAAUGGGUGGAAGCCUGAUGCAGCAACGCCGUGUGCGGGAUGACGGCCUUCGGGUUGUAAACCGCUUUCGCUCAUGACGAAGCUUUGUGUGACGGUAGUGGGUAAAGAAGCACCGGCUAACUACGU
rnacentral:rRNA from 1 species